rnacentral:rRNA from 1 species
GACGUAGGAGGCGAGCGUUGUCCGGAUUUACUGGGCGUAAAGCGCGCGCAGGCGGUCGCGCAGGUCAUCUGUGAAAGCCCCCGGCUCAACCGGGCGGGUGCGGGUGAAACCGCGCGACUGGAGGGUGGGAGAGGUCGGCGGAAUUCCCGGUGUAGUGGUGAAAUGCGUAGAUAUCGGGAGGAACACCCGUAGCGAAGGCGGCCGACUGGACCACACCUGACGCUGAGGCGCGAAGGCCAGGGGAGCGAACGGG